rnacentral:tRNA from 1 species
GUGAUCGAAGCCAAAGUGGUCGAGGCACUGGUCUGUGAAUCCAGUAGUAGCGAGUUCAAGUCUCGUCGAUCACC